rnacentral:rRNA from 1 species
GCGACUGUUUAUCAAAAACACAGCACUGUGCUAACUCGCAAGAGGACGUAUACAGUGUGACGCCUGCCCAAUGCCGGAAUGUCACGGAAGCGGGUUAGCUUCGGCGAAGCUCGUAACCUAAGCACCGGUCAAUGGCGGCCGUAACUAUGACGGUCCUAAGGUAGCGAAGUUCCUUGUCGGGUAAGUUCCGACCCGCACGAAAGGUGUAACGAUCUGCGUACUGUCUCGGAGAGAGACUCGGCGAAAUAGACUUGUCUGUGAAGAUGCGGACUACCUGCACCUGGACAAAAAGACCCUAUGAAGCUUUACUGUAGCUUGAGAUUGGCUCCGGGCUUUAUUUGCGCAGGAUAGGUGGGAGGCGUUGACGACUUUCUUGCGGGAAAGUUUGAGCCACUGGUGAGAUACCACUCUAAUAAAGCUAGGAUUCUAACCCUAUACCGUUAUCCGGUUAGGGAACAGUUUCAGGCGGUCAGUUUGACUGGGGCGGUCGCCUCCCAAAGAGUAACGGAGGCGCGCGAAGGUU